CUGUCUGUGACCCGCGCAGGGCUCCGACCGGGCCGGGCACGGGUCCGGCUGCAGCUUGGGAUGGUCCCGUUUCGCUUUGCUGCAAGCUCGCCAGUCACGGAGAUGGGCCGGGCGAGGUCAGGCGGGGCUGGCGGCCCCGCGGGGCCUCUCAGCACACACGCCCUCAGGAGAAGGCACCAGCGCGGGGGCUCUUCGUGCCCCCCAGGCCGCGCAGGGCCCGCUGAGGCUCUAGAGCACGCGGAGCUUGUGGAGGAGAAACCUGGCGGACAGGAGUCUACUGACCGUGGCGGGGGAAAAUCCCCUCGCUCGGGUCUGCCUGCGCUGCCCUGGUACUGCCGAGGCUCCCGACUGCUGCUGGUGUGCGCUGCCCGUGCUAGGGUAGCGGUACAGGGUACACGGCACAGGGCAGCUCCUGCGCACUGUGUGUCACCCGACUGUGCUGCAGCGGGGCAAACUCCGGGCUCCGGCCGCGCCCCGGGCACUGCCAGCUCGGGGCUGCUGCAAAGCCGCCGCUCUUUGCUCUAGGCAAGGGGCCACGCCCGGUGCCCUGGGCCAGUGGCGCAGGGAGCGAGGCGCUCACCGGUUCCCCGAAGACAAUCCGACUGCCCCGAGCGGCUGUUGACUGUUCCGGAGCUGCGGCCCGUACUGAACCAGACGUUUUUGUCAGGCCCGGGGCGAGUCCAGCGAAGUUUUGGAAGGAGGAAGAUGUGCCAGACAACAGAGGCAGAGAAUCCCCAGAGUUGGAGUAUAACACAGCUGUCCUGCCCGUCCAGGCCUCCGACCAUGGUAAAACGGUCUAACAGAAGCCUCCACACCCUGGGUGUGGAAACUCUUGCCUAAGUGUCGGGGUUGCAUCAGCUGGGUACCGCAGAGCGGCUGUUGGGAACCAGCACAGGGGGUUUUUUUCACGCCAUCAGGCACAUCUGGGAUGCAUCUAACUGACACAACUGAGAGUAAGGCGUGUUCCCUGCUCCCAUCCCCACGCUGUCCUCCAUGGUCCCACACUGUGCAGAGGGCUGGGAGGUCACAGCUGGGCACUGCUCUCCAUAGCAAGCAGCAUAAGUGGCAUGUGCCGGCUGGAGUGGGCACUGGCCACAUGCCAGCUCCUGCCUAGCCCAGACUCUUGCCUUCAGCCCUUGUUCUUUCCAAGUUUCAUCAUCCCCUUUAGCAGUUUACCAAGGCCCAAGGAAGGGACCUGUGCUGUAAGCUCCAAAUACAAGAGGGAGCCUAUAGAGUUCUCAGUUGCCUUCGUGAGCCUUUGACCAGGAAGAGAGCUGAGCCCCCUCCUGCAGGUUCUCCCACACCAUGGAUUCUGUAAAGAGCUUUUCAUGGCUACACUUUCCUUACCCUUAACACAAACAUGCCACAUGCUCUGUAAACAUCCGCAGGCUCUUA